AGCAGUAACUUUUUCAAUCCAAUGCAUCGAUAGCCCAUGUACCCCAAGGGAAGCGCGGUAGAAGCCGCCACUGGUCCGCAACUGUGAUCGGGGACGAAAUCUGCACUCAGCCACUGUCCACAAGGAUGGGAAGGCGCAGAGAGUAGGACGAGCCGAGAGUCAGGAGACCUGGGUAUAUGGAGACUCCAGAA
rnacentral:ncRNA from 1 species